GCUGGUCCAAUUUGGUUCACGGGAAUUAAUGGACCAAAUUCUACUAGGGGGAAUCUUUUCCCUUAUGCUAGGGGAAGUAACUAAAUGGCAGAGAAAUUAAACAACUACCUUUCAUUCACUUUAAUCAUCAUCUUGUCCUCUCUUCUUCUAUGAAAAAUAUGAAUGCGGACUAGGUUGUGUUAGAAUCGAAAUAAUUAGGUGUCAUAUGAAAAUAUCAAAACAAACUUUGAAGGGUCAUGAAUAAGAAGAUAAAUGAGAAAUACAUCAAAAGAGACACAAUAAUUCACUCAAAAUAAAAAGAGGUUCAGAC
rnacentral:lncRNA from 1 species